CCUACGGGUGGCUGCAGUGGGGAAUAUUGCACAAUGGGGGAAACCCUGAUGCAGCGACGCCGCGUGAGUGAAGAAGUAUUUCGGUAUGUAAAGCUCUAUCAGCAGGAACGAGACAAGACGCUCCCUGACUAAUAAGCCCCGGCUAACUACGUGCCAACAGCCGCGGUAAUACGUAGGGGCCAAGCGUUAUCCGGAAUCACUGGGUGUAAAGGGAGCGUAGACGGGUAUGUAAGCCUGUUGUGAAAGUCGGGGGCUCAACCCCUGGAUUGCAUUUGAAACUGUAAGGCUGGAGUGCAGGAGAGGUAGGCGGAAUUCCUAGUGUAGCGGUGAAAUGCGUAGAUAUUAGGAAGAACACCAGUGGCGAAGGCGGCUUACUGGACUGUAACUGACGUUGAGGCUCGAAAGCGUGGGGAGCAAACAGGAUUAGAUACCCUUGUAGUC
rnacentral:rRNA from 1 species